UCUCAUGUCUCUAUGCAAGAGGCUGUAAAAAAACUUAAAGCUUCAUUAAGCACAGGCACAUCAUGAGCUGUCCAAAAUAGAGAAUGCCCUGCUAUUAACCCAUUAACUUUUUUAUUGUAGGCAGCAUUUGAAUGGGAACAUAUCCUACUUUCACUGAGACUGAACCACUAUAAAAGGAGCAACUUACAGAUCUGAGAUCUUUCUUCAGCCAUUGGCCAUUGAUUUGACUGUUUGCCAAUGCUAUAGAUUGUUAUACUACAUUAUAUUAUAUUAUUCAUUAAACUAGUUCUUAGCUUGUCAGAUGUUUACUAAAAGGACAACAUUAAACACUAUUUGUAUUAUCUCAUAUAUAUACAAUAAUCAUAUUUCUUUUAUUAUCAACAUCAGCAUUGUCAACUAAGUUACCAAUAAAACACCCCCGUGCAACUGAGCAAUAGGUUCUCCCAAAACCAUCUGACCUGUAUCACGUGAUUGUAUUGCCUUUCAGUGAGUGACAGACAUUUUGAAAACUGAUGUCAGCAGCAGAGAAACAGCGAAGAUACCGGGCUCGACGCGAUGCUGAUCCCUCAAGAAGGGCACAAUAUUUAGAAAAGCAAAGAGAGGCCUGGUACAGACAAAUAAGACGCGGAAAGGUGAAACCAGUCGCAGAGUUGAGUGAGAGCGAGAAACAAAGCAAGAGAGACCAGUGGAGAAAAGCCCAACAGAGAAGAAGACAGAGAAAUCGAAUGCUAGUACAAAAAGACAGCAAUGAACUUGAACAGCUACCUACAGAAUCAAGCAGUCUGGCGGAUUAAAGCUUCACGUCAUUGACCCACGGGGGCGCGCACAGCCGCUGUGAUGCGCGGACACGUGUAAAGCCUGAGCUUGUGUACACAACGCUCGCGGAGGAAAGUCUCUAGACAGGUACUUCACUAAAGGCUGAACUGAUUCAUUCAAGGCCUUUAGUGUUUCAGACUCUGAAGGCUGACUGGUACUGAUGCCCUGCUGGGAUUGAGAUCUCGUAUAGGAAGCCACUUAAAAGUUUAUUCGAUUUAAAAAAAAAAGUUUAUUGUUGUAGUGUUUUAUUAUCAUUAGUAAACGCCUCGAGUACGUUAAAUCUAAGAAAAUACUCGGAUCCUCAUUUUUUUCUCAUCUGGGAGUCGAAUGGCCUCUGCUGUUACAGUGAAGACAGAGAAGCGUCCUUCCCAUGACUCUGAGGAUGGAGACACAGUGGCUAAGAAGGCCAGGUAUGAAAACAACAGAUGUUCGAGUCUUGCUUAGCUGCCGACACAUUCCCAGAGAGAGCCAAAUAUUCUUCAUUGAUAUUAGCUCCUGUUUGCUGACCUGUUCCGAUAAACAUGUGA